rnacentral:lncRNA from 1 species
CCUGCCCCGCGCUCUGGAGUCAGGCUCUCAGGGUGGCACUCCCAGGGCUCGAUUAUGAAACACCCGGGACGAGACCGAGCCACCGCUGAUCUGAAAAGCCAAAGGGCCAGGAGCCCCGCUGGAAACCCUCCAAACGCCCCCGUGCUGCCUUCUGCUGCUAGCUGGGGCUUCGCCUCGAGCGGCUCUACCCAAAGGCAUCUGCAAGGAGACAACGUCGCCGCUCCCUGCGGGCAGGCAGCCAGCUCGGAUUGCUUCCUCGGCCACCGCAGCCGGCAAUUAAACCCCGGCGAUCGCCAGCAACCCCUGCCUGACCCAGCUGCUGUGCCGAAGCGCCCCGACCUGGCAUUAUCACGGCUGCUUUUGUGCAGCAAAUAGCAGCUCCAGAAACGCCGUGAUGUAUGGGAACACCGCAGCGCCCACCUCUCUUGCCUGUGCUCCCUCAUGCAAGACUGAAGACACGGCGUGACUUUCCAUUCCCUUCUUAUCUCUGUCCCCAGAGGACGUCGUUAUUUCUGCUCAGACUAUUCAAGCACAAAUGUUUGAUGGUGAAUAAUAUUUUUGAUAGUUUAAUUACCUUUUGUUGCCUAAUUAAAACUUGGCCUCGUCAUAAUGUCAGCCAGUUUCAGAAGGGAACGUGGUGAUGGUGAAUUGCAUCGAGUGCUUUCCCUGGCAGAAGUGGUCACAGCACCUUUUUAAGUGUUCAGGAGAAAGCUGGGGGAGCCAGCAGAGCUGCGGAGGAGCCCUCGUGCAUCCCCAGCCGGGCAGGGCGAUCCCAUCCCACGGCUCAGGUGCCCGAUGCAGCGGCGCAGCGGAGGCAGAGCGAUGGUCUCUGGAAUUGCUCCUUCUGGUGCAGUUGGUGAACACAAGCGGCAGCAGGGAUGGCCGUUAAUCAUUCUGGUUGUUUUCCACAUUGCCUCUUGCUGCUUACUAGUGCAGCUUGAAGCAGUGCAUUAAGGAGCAGGGAUGCAUCUCCAGCCUCGGUGCGGAUGCUGCAAGGGAAUGCCCAGGGCACCCUGCCUGGUUAUGCCCCUGCUUGGACUGGUACAAGCGCUGGGGGCAGAGGGGAAAAGCUGCCCCAGAGCCCCCCUAAAGCUCAGCCUGCUCCUGGAGAGGUGUGGCAAGCUUUUGCAAACUUGGUACACCCAGAGGAGAGAACUAGUGGAGGUACGAGUCUGGUUCCCUAAAUACUUCCCAGCACGCUUCACCUGCUGUGCAACUCUGAACUUACUGUUUGCUAAGGGGGGGCCUUUUAGUGUAAGAAAAGCAGAUGGGAGCUGACAACGAGGGGUCUUGUCUUAGCCGUGCUGGUGUCCCCAAAGCACUGACCCUAGGCUGAGAGCAGUGGUGGCCCAGGGGGCAGAGAACAUCCCCUGCCAGCACAUCAUGCUGGGAGAACGCCCGCCUUGUCAGCUCCAAUUUUCUUAAUUUAUGGUGAGAAUUGCUUGCAUUUAUUUAUCCCUUGUGGUCCUUUGGGCACCUUAGGGUUGCUCACCAAUGAAUCCCCGCACAACCUCAUUAGGGUGGUGCUCCUGUUCCCGAUUUACCUCCAGGUAGCCCUGCUGCAGGAAGCCAUCUGAAGACAUUUGGGAGAGCGGAAGGCGGCGAGUGCAGGUGGGGCGCAGAUUUCCUCUCCCCCCUUGCAGCCACAUGAGCAAUCGCACUCCAGGUAACGCUGCCAGCAGAGCAAGCAGCAGGAGAUGAGCUCGCUGCUUGGCUAUUACACAAGCAAACCACCAAGAGCUAGAGCCCAGCUGGAUCCAUCCCCAGCACAUGCAUUAUCCCCUACCAGCACUGCCGAGGAAUGAGGAGGGUUUGUGGUUUGCAUCCCAUGGAGGCAACUAAGGUAAUCAAUGCCUAAUAUUCCUAAUUCCCAAACGAUGUGUGUUUCUGGAAAUAUAUAUUUUUUUAAUUAAAAAAAUUAGUUUAAUAAUCACGUGUGAGCAUUCCCCUCAAGGGGUACAUAGCAAGUGCUGGCCAUGCAUACCAGCAGAGAUCCUGCAAUUACCAGGUUUUCCACAAGCUGAAGGACAGCAGGAUGAGCGUGCCUCCGUCCCGUUGUGCUGUUUUGCACCAUUAUCUCCAAGUGAUGGAGUUAGUGUAGGACGCACCGAUAAAUCUGCUUUUGACUUGUUACUCUCUGUGAUAUCAUCCAUCAUCCUGCGUGGCAGAGCUGUGCAAAAUUAAACAUUUAAAUCUUACACAGAUGGCAGGAGAAAUUGGCUGCUUGGGAGGAAGGAGCACCAGACAGGAGCCAGGCUUUCUUGGCUGCGGCAGGGGACGCACACAGGGCCCUGUGCUCCAGCCCAGCGGCCCCGUGGCACGGUUAAAUUGAUUGAACGAUAUCAGUCAGCAUCCACAGAAAUGUCAGGAGGUACUUUAGCACAUUCAGGCCAUGCACGAGUGUAUCAUAUUCUGACCUCUGUUAACUGUAGCAUUGAUUAAUUCAGGGUUUCCCUCAGCCAGGGGAAUACACAGCGCACUGUUUAUAAACGCACACAAACACUACACCUAUGUAGGACACACGCAAACACGAACCCAGGAGUCACACGGAUGCCCAGAGGGGCUGCAGCCUCGCACCUGGGGAGCUGGGGAAUUGAAUAGCCCUGCGAUGCCUGUUAGCGCUGCGCAUUCUGCUGCCUGUUCUUCAGCUUCAGGAAAUAAUUAGCUUUAUUUCCAGUCUGCUACCAAAAAAAUGCACAUCCCAGUGACCUUCAAAACCGCUGAACAUUACACUGCAAAAUGUAUGCGUUGUACAUGCUGCUAGAGAAUGAUGAGUAGGAAAUACACUUUUUUAAGCAAGUAUUGAAGAGAACGCCAUUUCUUACAAGCCCCACCAACAUUUCGGUUCCAGCUGCUGCUACCCUGCUGGCUAGCACCAAGCAGCACGAGGAGAGCAGCUUCUUCGCUGGGGUUUUGUAGUAGCCCUUCUCCAAUGUGACUUCCUGGAAAUUGUCACAAGGAAUGGCUUUGAAGCGUACAUUAGAAUAAUACCCAGAUAAUAAUGGCAAAAACAUGGUUCAGAAAUGAGAAGGAGAGCAUUAUGAAGCCUAAGUGGCGUUUUCUUGCCCAUUACUGCAAUCAUCAUCGCUGCAGAGACAUUUAAAUAUUUUAGGAAACAGAAGGGCCUUCUUGGUCGGCAGCGCGAGGCUGGCGUUAAUGGGUUUCGGUUUGCUCUGCCUCCCCUCCGAGUGACUGCGUGGCGCUGGUGCUGUUUAGCAACACGAUCAGGUCAGCGACGGCAACUCGCUGCGCUUCUCCUGCUGCUUUCGCACGCUCCCGUUGCAGGGAGCCAGAACCUGCGGGCACGGUGAGGGGCACCUGGGCUUGCUCCUGCCUG